rnacentral:rRNA from 1 species
CAGCUCUCCGAGUGGUAGGGAUGAUUAUUGGGCUUAAAGCGUCCGUAGCCGGCGCUGUAAGUUUUCGGUUAAAUCUGUACGCUCAACGUACAGGCUGCCGGGAAUACUGCAGCGCUAGGGAGUGGGAGAGGUAGACGGUACUCGGUAGGAAGGGGUAAAAUCCUUUGAUCUAUUGAUGACCACCUGUGGCGAAGGCGGUCUACCAGAACACGUCCGACGGUGAGGGAUGAAAGCUGGGGGAGCAAACCGGAUUAGAUACCCGAGUAGUCC